AAUGAGUUUCCUCAAAUGCUGCUGCUAGAGUAAGAUGAGGACUGAGAGUUGACUACUGAAUCUAGCAACAUGGAAAUGGUGACCUUGACAGAAACAGUGUCACUGAAGUGAGAGCAAUGGAAGCAAACUCAAGCAGGUUUGGACUCAGGGAGUAAAUGGCUUUGUAGGGGAAGCAAAAUUUCCUUCUACCCUCUUCAGUUCUGUUGUUGGUCCAAGAAUUAAACUGACAUAAGACAGAUUAACAGGAGAAAAGCAUACCAAUUUUAUUAAUAUUUUUACACGGACGUGGCAGUCUUCAAAAGGGAAAUGAAGACCCUAGGAAGACAGUAGGCCGUGAAGCUUAUAUACAUUUUCACGCAAAGAACAAUAAAUUAUGGGGAUGUGACAAGACAAAGGGGCUUGGGCUUGGGGCAUUAAAUUGUAGGACAGUGCCUAGGAAAUACAUGGGGGAAAUUAACGAAAGACAGGGUCGUUUUGGUAGUUUGUUGUGGAAGUCCAUUUCGGCAUCAACUCCUAGUCUCUGGUGAUAAGAAUGUUCUCUUCCUAGUACAGGGAAGGCACCUUUUUCAUGGAAAAUUUUAUGAUCUGUUUUUAGGUAGAAAUGAGGAGGUCAGAGAGCCUAUGUUAGUUUGUUUUGCAUCGCUGUAAAGGAAUACCUGAGACUCAGUAAUUUAUAAAGAAAAGAGGUUUAAUUGGCUCACAGUUUGGCAAGCUGCUCAAGCAUGGAACCAGCAUUUGCUUGGCUUCUGGCGAGGCCUCAGGAAGUUUUUACUCAUGGCAGAAGGUGAAGCGGGAGCAGGCAUGUCACAUGGUGAGAAAGAAGCAGGAGCGAGAGGAGGAGCUUCCAGGCUCAUCUCUAACACUGGAGGUCACAAUGCAACAUAAAAUUUGGAGGGGAAACACAUCCAUACCAUAUCAGAGCCCUUCUGCAUGAGCUGUUUCUCAAGUGCCUUCAGAUUAAAAUAAUCAAUAUGCCAAAACAGCAUAUUUUGGGAUGGCACGAAUCCCUUCAGCCCCCUUUUUUUUUGGGAAUAGAGUCUUGCUCUUGUUGCCCAGGCUGGAGUGCAGUGGUGCCAUCUCAGUUCACUGCAACCUCCACCUCCCAGGUUCAAGUGAUUCUUGUGCCUCAGCUUCUCAAGUAGCUGGGAUUACAGGUGUGUGCCACCACUCCCGGCUAAUUUUUGUAUUUUUAGUAGAGACAGGGGUUCACCAUAUUGGCCAGGCUGGUCUCAAAACUCUUGACCUCAGGCGAUCCACCCACCUCUGCCUCCCAAAGUGCUGGGAUUACAGGCAUGAGCCAGUACACCUGUUCCCCUUCAGCUCUUUUGAGGAGUUUUGCUGUCAAUAUGAACACUGGAACAGUGGCUGGGGAGGAUGAGAUCUCAAUACUUCCCUGACAUCCCUUAAGACUCAAGUCUUGAUACUUUGUCUGCUCUCUGGCUCUUUCUUUGUCAUUACUAUUAUUUUUAUCUUCUUGAUGUUGACUCUUGCUAAAAUUUUUUGUCUUCCUUAUUGUUAAUGCUUAUAGAAAAUGAUUCCUUGUUAUCUUUUAGCCCAUGUCAUCCGAAUCAUUUGCUGUUUCUAGCCUAGGUGCUUUGACUAUGCCAGCUUGUAUUUCUUCAGAAUUUUCAUUAACUAUAUGUGUGGUAUUG
rnacentral:lncRNA from 10 species